AUUGAACGCUGGCGGCAUGCUUUACACAUGCAAGUCGAACGGUAACAGGUCUUCGGAUGCUGACGAGUGGCGAACGGGUGAGUAAUACAUCGGAACGUGCCCGAGAGUGGGGGAUAACGAAGCGAAAGCUUUGCUAAUACCGCAUACGAUCUCAGGAUGAAAGCAGGGGACCGCAAGGCCUUGCGCUCACGGAGCGGCCGAUGGCAGAUUAGGUAGUUGGUGGGAUAAAAGCUUACCAAGCCGACGAUCUGUAGCUGGUCUGAGAGGACGACCAGCCACACUGGGACUGAGACACGGCCCAGACUCCUACGGGAGGCAGCAGUGGGGAAUUUUGGACAAUGGGCGCAAGCCUGAUCCAGCCAUGCCGCGUGCAGGAUGAAGGCCUACGGGUUGUAAACUGCUUUUGUACGGAACGAAAAGACUCUGGUUAAUACCUGGGGUCCAUGACGGUACCGUAAGAAUAAGCACCGGCUAACUACGUGCCAGCCGCCGCCGUAAGAC
rnacentral:rRNA from 1 species